GAAUUGCUUUGGCAAUACAUACAUUAAAAUUGGAACGAUACAUAGAAAAUUAGCGUGGCCCCUGCGCAAGGAUGACAUGCAAAUUCAUGAUGCAUUUCUCAUUUUA